rnacentral:rRNA from 1 species
UAGGGAAUCUUCGGCAAUGGGGGCAACCCUGACCGAGCAACGCCGCGUGAGUGAAGAAGGUUUUCGGAUCGUAAAGCUCUGUUGUAAGUCAAGAACGGGUGUGAGAGUGGAAAGUUCACACUGUGACGGUAGCUUACCAGAAAGGGACGGCUAACUACGUGCCAGCAGCCGCGGUAAUACGUAGGUCCCGAGCGUUGUCCGGAUUUAUUGGGCGUAAAGCGAGCGCAGGCGGUUUGAUAAGUCUGAAGUUAAAGGCUGUGGCUCAACCAUAGUUCGCUUUGGAAACUGUCAAACUUGAGUGCAGAAGGGGAGAGUGGAAUUCCAUGUGUAGCGGUGAAAUGCGUAGAUAUAUGGAGGAACACCGGUGGCGAAAGCGGCUCUCUGGUCUGUAACUGACGCUGAGGCUCGAAAGCGUGGGGAGCGAACAGGAUUAGAUACCCUGGUAGUCCACGCCGUAAACGAUGAGUGCUAGGUGUUGGAUCCUUUCCGGGAUUCAGUGCCGCAGCUAACGCAUUAAGCACUCCGCCUGGGGAGUACGACCGCAAGGUUGA